UGAGGUGUCGUAUUUUCCUUUAACAACCACGUACACAAAGGUUUUAAAAAAGUUUAUGUUCCUGUUAAUUUCAAUUUGGAUCGUGAUUCUAAUUAAGAUUUUACUUAAAUUAGUAUUUUUAUUCUGCCUGUUCCUCUUAUUUACGUCUGCAUGGAUAUUUAAAGAUAUAAAGUACAAACAAUAAUAUCUUAAAGUCUAAAUCUACCUAAAGAUGCUCUGCAGGGAUGUACAGUAUAUAACUACAUUAAUCCAUAUUACUAUAAUUCACUAGUUGAACUUUUUUAAGUAUUUUAAAAUGAUUUUUACUUUUUUCAUUUGAAAGUAUUUAACUUUGCUUCAUUUUCCACACCAUCAGUAAAUAAGUAACCUAAAAAUAAAAAUGCUAAAAACAGCCUGCAGGUUUUCCAUCAGCUGAUUGGAUGUUUCCUCUGAGAAAAAGAAAAAAACUCCAAUAUGAACUCAUGAAUUUGUCUCAUUUCAAGGCGAACUGUCUCAUUACUCCAAAUCUCAGACAGAUCCAAACAUGAACCUCAUCCAGGAUCCUCCAAACCAAAACCAAGUCAUCACAGCAACCUUGAAAUUGACAUUUCAUCCUGUAACAAAUUAGUUGUCAAGAAAAUUUCUCCUCUGAUUUAACAUCCAUUAAAAAACCAUCAUAAUUAAGUCUUUUUGGACUCUUACUAAAACCUUGCAUGCGUCCACAGUGACCGUCUCAACAGUGAAAAUGUUCCUAAAAAGAGAUUUUAAAAUCCUCACCCUGGAUAAGAGCAGAGUUAAAAUGACUCCAAAUGUUAAAAUUCACGUGGAAAUCUGUUUUCACCUAAUUUAGGGGUCUGUUUUUCCUCACUGGACAUCAGAGGUUAAAGUGAUAAUUCGGUACAAACAACAAAUUAAAAUCAGAAAUAGAUAGAGAGGCCGAAUAAAUUUAUAAUUUGACUUCUUCUUGAGUUAAAUGUCAUUAAAUCAACUGUAAUUUAAGUAGGAUGUUUAAUAUUUUGGUUCGUUAAUCUUAAAAACUACAUCCCAUUUCUUGGACUCACUCAGACGUUUGUAUUUCUGCCUAAAAUCUUAAUAAAACACCAAAAAUACUCGCUCAAUAAUAACGUUUUAAACUAGUACAGGCCACAGUAGAGAAAAUCUAAUCUCAUCUGUUCCGGAUUAAAUAAUCUCAGUGUCUCUGAUUUGACUCUGAGCUGGUACGGAGGCCCGCAGGUCUCAGCGCGCAGUGUGAGCAGCAGGGUGGGAUCAGCUGCGGUGUGUUUUCUGGGACAACACCUUCAGGACAUCAGAGUCUGUCUGUGUGUGUCUGUGUGUCUGUGUGUGUGUGUGUGUCUGUGAUCCACCUGGACAGCUCUGCCUCUGUCUGUGCGCGCAGCUCAAUCACAUCCAGAUGGAGCUCUGAGGCUGUUUAUGCCUCUGGAAACACACACACACACUCACAGGUGCACCGAGUCCUGCUCUCAACAACAAUUAGACAGGUCACGUGAUCCAUUUACCGCUGGCUCUUCCAGAAAGGAGAGCUGAUGUGGAUUUGGAGCGCGGAUAGAGAGAGAAAUCAAACCUUGCGCACAGCUAAACAAACAUCUUAGAGAGAUUAUGCAGCUCUGACGGUCAGUUUGAACUCAGGAGGUGGUCACGGACUCUGAAACUAGAUUUGUUUUUUUCUCUCUGUCAGAUUUACUGGACCACAAAAAUAAAACACAAGAAGAAACGUUUCAGCUUUAAUUAAAUCAGAUUUACGCAUCUGUUUGUCUUCAUUCUGACUUUUUACCACAAAGCAAAUAAUAUAGGGACACUAAACUCACUUAAUUUAAAGGAUCAGACUCGUUAUGUUGCAGUUAAGACGCAUGCGUAACGCUCAGUAACCUCAUUAUUUUACAUCCCAGACGUCAAUCAGUAAACUUGUCAAAGACACGAAUUAUUAAUGUGAACUUACCAGUUAUUUAGUUGUGUAAGAAGGAUAAUGUAGUCAAGAUUCAUUAUAAUAAAGUGUAACUGUAAAUUAAAAGGUAGUUGGAUGAACAAAAACGGAAAAAAUAACACAAAACCGUCAAUUACGCAUCAAAAAUACAAACGUAAAAACUUUGUAUUUUACUUUUUAAAGCUGUUGUUUAAUUAUUUAAGGUGCGAACUAAAUAAGUGAGAUUUUACAGAUUAAUUUAGAUCCUUAAACGCAGCACGAGAAGAAGAGAGACAUCUAUGUUAGUGUACUUGAACUACACAGUCCCCAGCUGAACACACACACACACACAAACCUGCACCACGCUGAAGAGUAAGAGGAGACACAGCAGAAGAAGAAAAAAACAUGGAGGUUAAACUCUCCCAGUUUGACUUUAACCGGCUGAUAAACCCUCAUAAAUUCAUCAUAAAUGCAGUAAUUCAGAAAACGCAGAAGCAAAAUAAAGUGAAGAAAAACAAAAGGCUGUUAUCUGUGUUAGUGUCCCACAUUUACGCAUCGACUAAAACUACAAUUCAGGUUCCAGCAGUCAAACAAACUGCAGGUUCGAGUCUCUCUAAACCGCCUAAAAUCAAAGUGUAAUUUUCAAACUUGCUCCUAAAAUCUUCUCUAAUAUUUAAAAUCAUCUCUGUACAUCUUUAAAUAAAAUCCCAAAUCUCAAACGUGUUCAGGUGACCGAGAGUUUACGCACCAAACCUGCAGCAGGAGAUAAGCGCUAUCAGGUUGCUCUUCUUCCAUAUUGACACACGCACAUACACACGCACACACACAGUUUGUAAAGCUCAUCAUUCUGUAACAAAAGACAUGAGUGUGUGUGUGUGUUGCCUUCAGGCUCUGUGUAUUUGACUCUGCUGCUCGCUGACACAAUAACCCCGUAAGAACCUCAUAAGUCCUUAAUGAGGCCUUUUCAAUGCGCGUUUUAUGCGCUUUUUACGCGCAUUGGCAGCCUUUCCAUUGUGCUGAGGCCUCCUCUGCUCCUCGGGGACUCUUUUCAUUUCUACUCCGCAGGUCCAUAAACUAUAAACUCUCACAACAACAACCGAGCGGCCUGAUCCGCGCGCUCUGCAGCCCCGUGAAGCUGCUCCACACACGGUAGUGACAGGCAGGCUUCUCUCUUUACUUCCCUAAAGUGCAUUGUUGACAUCCUCUCCAUUGACCUCCAUCACCUCCCUCUGUCUCGUCCUUAUGAUGAAAAAUGAUUCACAGCCGUGUCUGCGCUUUCCUUCCUGACCCUGAAGAGCCGCAUCAAUCACGCAGACGUUUGUUUACACGCGAUAAUCCUCCUUUUAUUAAUAUCGAGGACGGCUCUCGUGGUUGUGAUUUUACGCGUCUCUCCAGCUGACCCUCCUGUGAUAGGUGCAGGGGAGGAGGAGCGCAUUGUUUACGGUACUUUCACCGGGGGUUGACUCAUCUGACUGCUGGCCCCGGGGGAGCGUUUGUGCGCAGGAAUUUUGAGUCUCCCUGACUCAUUAAAAUCUCAUCCACGCGGGUCACAAACUGACAGUCACGUUUACACUUUCACCGCCUGCUUGACCUCACAGACACACACACACACACUCAUACAUACAGACAGACACACACUU
rnacentral:lncRNA from 1 species